rnacentral:rRNA from 1 species
UGCAAGUCGAGCGGUAGCACAGAGAGCUUGCUCUCGGGUGACGAGCGGCGGACGGGUGAGUAAUGUCUGGGAAACUGCCUGAUGGAGGGGGAUAACUACUGGAAACGGUAGCUAAUACCGCAUAAUGUCGCAAGACCAAAGUGGGGGACCUUCGGGCCUCAUGCCAUCAGAUGUGCCCAGAUGGGAUUAGCUAGUAGGUGGGGUAACGGCUCACCUAGGCGACGAUCCCUAGCUGGUCUGAGAGGAUGACCAGCCACACUGGAACUGAGACACGGUCCAGACUCCUACGGGAGGCAGCAGUGGGGAAUAUUGCACAAUGGGCGCAAGCCUGAUGCAGCCAUGCCGCGUGUAUGAAGAAGGCCUUCGGGUUGUAAAGUACUUUCAGCGGGGAGGAAGGCGAUAAGGUUAAUAACCUUGUCGAUUGACGUUACCCGCAGAAGAAGCACCGGCUAACUCCGUGCCAGCAGCCGCGGUAAUACGGAGGGUGCAAGCGUUAAUCGGAAUUACUGGGCGUAAAGCGCACGCAGGCGGUCUGUCAAGUCGGAUGUGAAAUCCCCGGGCUCAACCUGGGAACUGCAUUCGAAACUGGCAGGCUAGAGUCUUGUAGAGGGGGGUAGAAUUCCAGGUGUAGCGGUGAAAUGCGUAGAGAUCUGGAGGAAUACCGGUGGCGAAGGCGGCCCCCUGGACAAAGACUGACGCUCAGGUGCGAAAGCGUGGGGAGCAAACAGGAUUAGAUACCCUGGUAGUCCACGCCGUAAACGAUGUCGAUUUGGAGGUUGUGCCCUUGAGGCGUGGCUUCCGGAGCUAACGCGUUAAAUCGACCGCCUGGGGAGUACGGCCGCAAGGUUAAAACUCAAAUGAAUUGACGGGGGCCCGCACAAGCGGUGGAGCAUGUGGUUUAAUUCGAUGCAACGCGAAGAACCUUACCUGGUCUUGACAUCCACAGAACUUAGCAGAGAUGCUUUGGUGCCUUCGGGAACUGUGAGACAGGUGCUGCAUGGCUGUCGUCAGCUCGUGUUGUGAAAUGUUGGGUUAAGUCCCGCAACGAGCGCAACCCUUAUCCUUUGUUGCCAGCGGUCCGGCCGGGAACUCAAAGGAGACUGCCAGUGAUAAACUGGAGGAAGGUGGGGAUGACGUCAAGUCAUCAUGGCCCUUACGACCAGGGCUACACACGUGCUACAAUGGCAUAUACAAAGAGAAGCGACCUCGCGAGAGCAAGCGGACCUCAUAAAGUAUGUCGUAGUCCGGAUUGGAGUCUGCAACUCGACUCCAUGAAGUCGGAAUCGCUAGUAAUCGUAGAUCAGAAUGCUACGGUGAAUACGUUCCCGGGCCUUGUACACACCGCCCGUCACACCAUGGGAGUGGGUUGCAAAAGAAGUAGGUAGCUUAACCUUCGGGAGGGCGCU